rnacentral:lncRNA from 1 species
GACGGGGUCGAUGGAUGAUCCUAAAGAUCCAUGGCCUAGGGUAGUAACCUCCAUUGCACUUAGGAGGGGUGCUGCCUUAAGGUCUCCCCAAGUUGGGAGAGCCUACGUCAUAAUUUGUGGCAGCGGGGGCCUGCGUUCGCGCGGCCCCUAACCAAUUUUUUAAGUGCAGUUUUUAUUAAUCAACUCCUUUCUGUAUUAGUUGUUCUGCCAGUCACCCAUAAUGGAAUUUGGUCUGGGUUGGGGAAAGGAUAUCCCAAAUGUACCGGAACUGCAUGAGUUUGCAGUAAAAGCUGAAAAGAUCCAUAUAUGUUACCAGUCUUAAAUAUCAGUGUUUAGCACUUGCACCUAAUAUAUUACCAGGACUGAAGUAGGGACAAAGUGUACCAACUAAAGCUACACUACAAAAGGCCAUUGUUGACCACCACUUAAUAAAUGUUGCAGUCGAUGGAAAAGUCGUGCUUGGAUUGUCUGAUAUAGACCAAAACCCCUCAAAGAAGCUUUAACUGCUCCUUCCCAAUCAUGUCUAUCGUUUCGAGAUCCUUCUUUUCCAUCCUUCACCUCCAUAACGAUGGCAGGUUCCUGUUGCAAUCAUGUUUAUUUUCAAGAUGUUAUUGUCCAUAUAAAAAAAUAAGACAACUGGUAAUUGAUUCAACUGUAUGCCACUACAAUUCAAAUUCAUUGGUUCAACAACACUUUAAUCUAAAACAACAAUGAUUAAAUUUGUCAAAAUUGUUAACAUGAAUGCAAUAUGUGUAUUGAACAUCUCAUGCUUAAACAUAAUAUACAUUACUUAUAUUUUUUCGUGCUUAUUAAAUAUGUUGUAUUAGUGUAGCUUAAUCACAGUUCUUUUUUACCUUUUAAAGAGGAAAACAAUGACAGCAAAAAGCAUAACAUCCUUAUAUGCAUUGUGAAGAGACCUGCUGAGUGUACCUCAGAUCCCACAUCGCUAGAUGAUGGCAAUAUAGCAAAGCGCUAGGUAUAUAAAUAAAAGGCAAGCUCCGACAUUAUAACAUACUUACCUGGGCGGGGUCUGUUGGUGAUCAGGAAGAUCCAUGUUCUAGGGUAGUGACCUCCAUUGCACUGAGGAGGGGUGCUACUACGUCAUAAUUUGUGGCAGCGGGGGCCAGCGUUCGCGCGGCCCCUUCCCAAAUACUAGGUCUAAAGAUUUAAUGGAGUUAAUAUGUUUAAUAAUUUUCAAGUCUAUUUCAGUAUAAUAUUGUUAUCUUCGGUAAUGGUCUAUUAUAGUCUGUAUUUACGAUGUUUAAAAGUAGAUCGUAUAUAUUCGCCAGGGUUUUGCAAAUUAACUCUCAAAUGUGAAUGAUUUGUAAGAGAUUCACAAUUGUCACAGGCACUUGCGUUGUGAAUAUUGAAAACAGGUUUGGGGUGUAAAAAGUCUGAACUUAUAUUUCCUUAACACGUGCAUUUAAAGUUUUGAUCAGAUCUUGAUGUCAUCUGAUCCUUAGUCAACUCUCCAGGAUCAAAUGUGUAUAUACAUAUGUACAUAUAUGCAAGGGUCUGUUUAACACAUGCAUUUAAGGCAAAACUGGAUAAAGGCCAUUAAUGACACUAAUGUUGCAGUUGAUGGAAGUGUUUGGAUUGUCUGAUAGACCAUUAAACCUUUCCAAAAGGUUAAUUGCUCCUUCCCAAUCAUGUCUACUGUUUUAAGAUCCUUCUUUGUCUUCUUAAAACCUACGUAACCAUGACAUAUUCCUAUUGCGUUUUCAGCAUGGUCAUGUCAAACAUAUACUCG